GCAAAGCACCAAAGAAAUACUUUUUUGGAUGUGAUCUGGAAAUGUUAAAUGACCAUUCAGAACAAAUUGCACAGCUGUGUUCUUGUAGCCUUUCAAAAUCAGGGAUAAUUGCUCUGUCACCACAGCUUCACAAUCAGAGGUUACCACCUUGCAGAAGCGUUUCCUGGGAGGUUUUCCAGCUGUUACAUGGAGCUACCAGGCCCACACUGUACUUCUUCAGACAAAAAGCCAGAAAGAAUAGGAGCACACAGACUGCUAGGAGCUGCCUUAAUACUGCCUGUAUUUCUGUCUGAGGUGAGGAGGUGGUUGUUGAGAUUGGAGAGCCCAUAGUGUCUCAUCUCUUGGUUUUGGUUUUUUUGUUGUUUCCCCCCCCAGCCCCAACUUUAUAAACCUCUCCAACAGUUGGGUAACAGUGACCCAGAACCUGAAACGAUGAGAAGCACAACUAGUUUCUGUCACUGAACAUUGGUUGUAACUGCAGCGACGGCAGGAGCAUUUGGGAGCUAAACCUGCUGCUCGGUUUUGUUGUAUUCUUUGGUUAAGUCAGGUUCAUCUUGUGUUGAUGCUCCAGCUGGCAGCUCUGCAGCUUGGCCUUUUACUUUCAAAGCUUUGGAAAUGCACAGAAGUUUCCUCUUUCUCAGAACUGAAGCCCCUGUGUGUGGCAGUUCUGCCGAUGUCCUUGGCCUUCUUCCUUUCUGGUCCCUCAGACCAGUGCAUUAACGGUGGUUUUGUGGGGACAAAGACACCCCAAAUGGCUCAGCCCCAUAGUACCCAUUGACAGUGUUGCAUUUCCCAGCAUAUCAGUGUGCUCUGGAUGGGAUUAGCCCCUGUGGUUUGCCUUAGUCUUUGUUGCGGAGAGGUGGGAAGGAGGCAGGUCACGGUCUUCUGAAACAAGGCCUGCAGGUUGGGGUUCUUCACUGCAUUUUUAGGGUGCCAAAGGGAUUUGGGUACCUAAAUCACUUGGGUACUUCUAAAAUUGCCUGUAACCCAUCUGGUUUUAGGAUCCCAGACAAACAACGUGAGCUUUUGGAAGAGCCGAGCUCCCAGUAGUUUCCCAGUAGGAAGCAGAGCUGUUGGACUUCUGAAAAAUCACGUUAGUUUGGUCUCAAAGACAAACCUGAGGCUUUUCUCCCCCAUAAAUCUUGGCUUGCAGAGUCCUACCUGUGCAGCUCUUGUCUCAGACGCCAAAACUGCCCCAUUCCCAAACCACAUUAUCUUACAGUGAGGAUUCUAUGUGUGGUUGAGUGAUUUCCAUGAGCUUUUGCAGUUGCCUAUGGCUGCCCUGUCCCGGCACGCUGGUGGGGUCUCAUCAGGACAGGGGAGCCCUGCAGCCACGGACGUGGUUUUGGAAGGCAGCCCCAUAGAGUUACCUCCCUAAUCCCUCCUGGGCCCUUUGGCUUGUACUUAGAAAGGGGUGAGAUGAGGGAAAGGCAGUAGGUGUGCGAUUCACACCCCAGCCUGGAUCAGACGCAGUGUUUGUCUCCCUAGUCAGCACAGGCACCCCAUGGAAAUAGUGGCAAGGACUAAAAAGAAACCUCACCAGCAUGUGCUGCUUUACAGAGAGAUUUACUGAAGUUGUUUUGGUUGCUGGAAAGCCUGUCCCCAUUUUAUUUUCACCUAAAUUGAAACCUAAGGCCAAAAAGAUACCUUAUGCUCCCUGCAGAUUUCUGUCUCCCCAGGUGAAAUGACCCAAGAGAACAGUGCAAAAGCUUUGGAAUGAGAGCUUAAACCUUUAGUUUCCCAGCGUAAAGCUGGCUGGGGUUCAGGGUGCAGAUGCCUCCACGGUUGGAGUUCCUAGGAAGUGAGCUCUGUGCUUGCAGGUCCUGCCUGCUGUUGCCCAACACCUUUGUUUAUCCAUUUGGUUCUCCCCCCCGUUUGCAAUUCCAGGUUGGUCCCAAGAAGUGGCCUGUGACUGUUGGGGGGGCCAGCAGGGGAAGGGGCUCACCUUGCAGAUAUUUAUAUUGUAUAGAGCAGCUUAUUUCUACAAGGAAAAACAAAACCAUUUUUAAACUCCAACAAACAGUACUUUCAGUUCCGGUUUUUUUGACCUUUUUCAGGGAUCAUUUCAGUGCAUUUCUGUAUAAAAUAAAAAUUUAAGGAAAAAAAGGAUUUUGAAGUAUCAAAAAGAAAAAAAAGCAUCUUCUGUACAUAGGCAAAGUCAAGAAUCUUCUCUUCAGACACUGUUUCUUGUAGAAACAUGUUGAAAAUUUUUUUGCUGAUUUCUUUGUACUUCAAGAGCAUGUAAAUAAUUUAUUAAAAGUGACUAUUGUAAUUUGGAGUUCUUUUUAAACAGAUCCCAGCUCUAAAUCAUGCCGAGGAGACGGGGAGGAGGAAGGACUUCAGUAUAGCAAAGGAGCUGGUGGCAUUUACAGCUUGUGUCAAGCUUUGUAUAAUGUAAAUUCUGUAUAAAUACGGGGUUUUUUUGUCAAAUAAAUAGAUGGAAUUCGAAGCAUUAAGAAACUGAAGACAAAAAAAAUUGCCAAGUCAAGGCUUCUUCUUUGCCCUCCCCUCCGUCUGAAACCUAAUGUGCAAAAUCUAUUUAUUUCAAGCGAGGAAAUGUGUACAGUCUAAUAGACAACCUAAAGCGUAUUUAAGCGAGUUUGCAACUGGAUUGUUUUCAAGUUAAUAUUUGUGUUUUGUUUUCCUGAGUUUCCUCCUUAAUUGCCACUGUAGUAUUUGUCCAAGCGAAACGAAACCCAGCGGAACGGGCACUCUAAACCCAAUGGGCAGUUGUAAGAGCGAAGUGGAAAAGAACAACCCCCGCUCCCAAUCGUUGCAGUUGUCCGGUUGGUUCAAUUCACAGUGUGAAAAUAAGGGCCCUCCUUUAAAAGGAGGUAAGUCAAAUGGUUUGCAAUAAAUGGAAAUCAAAUCCUUUUUGUUCUUUUUAAGUUCCUUUAAAACACAAAAAGAAAAGAAACCCCAACUCUGCUUUGAAGAUUUAGGAUUUCUGCUUUUUCUUUCGUUAAGCCAGUUUAUAAAUUUAGGAAUGUUUUGUGCAUAUAGAAUCUGUCACCAGUAUGUAUCUUGUUUUGAAGAAAGUGUUUUUGUUGUGGAUGUGUCAUGCUGUAUAUAUUUGUUCAUAUUUUUGUGAAUUGAAUACUAUGUACCAUUGUAUUAUAGUAACUUUUAUAAAGGAAACCAUAAAUAUA